GACAUGGCUCAGGAUGAACGCUAGCUACAGGCUUAACACAUGCAAGUCGAGGGGCAGCAUUUCAGUUUGCUUGCAAACUGGAGAUGGCGACCGGCGCACGGGUGAGUAACACGUAUCCAACCUGCCGAUAACUCGGGGAUAGCCUUUCGAAAGAAAGAUUAAUACCCGAUGGUAUAAUUAGACCGCAUGGUCUUGUUAUUAAAGAAUUUCGGUUAUCGAUGGGGAUGCGUUCCAUUAGGCAG
rnacentral:rRNA from 1 species